rnacentral:lncRNA from 1 species
GGAGUUUGUAGGCGAGUUCUCAUUCUCCUUCCUUAGACCCGGCACUACGUGGGCUCAGCAGCUGCUUUUGCAGGGACACCAGAGCAUGGACAAUUCCAAGGCAGUCCUGGUGGUGCCUAUGGGACUGCUCAGCCCCCACCUCACUAUGGGCCCACACAGCCAGCUUAUAGUCCUAGUCAGCAGCUCAGAGGUGAGUAAUAGGAGGGAUGGGGCUUGGCCUUCCUCAAGGUCAAAGGAGGAAUGCCAUUCAGUAAAAGAUUUUAAUGGCUCUGUCUUUUCCUUUCUCAGCUCCUUCGGCAUUCCCUGCAGUGCAGUACCUAUCUCAGCCACAGCCACAGCCCUAUGCUGUGCAUGGCCACUUUCAGCCCACUCAGACAGGUGAUAACAUCCCAUGCAGGAGCUCUAGCUCUCAGGUCCUCCCCUCCCUGUUUCAUUCUCAUCUCACAUGCCCCUCUUCCCCACCUAGGUUUCCUCCAGCCUGGUGGUGCCCUGUCCUUGCAAAAGCAGAUGGAACAUGCUAACCAGCAGACUGGCUUCUCCGACUCAUCCUCUCUGCGCCCCAUGCACCCCCAGGCUCUGCAUCCAGCCCCUGGACUCCUUGCUUCCCCCCAGCUCCCUGUGCAGAUGCAGCCAGCAGGAAAGUCGGGCUUUGCAGCUACCAGCCAACCUGGCCCUCGGCUCCCCUUCAUCCAACACAGCCAGAACCCGCGAUUCUACCACAAGUGACCAUCAGAUUAUAUCUUCAACACCACACCCCCCACCCCAUCGUGGGUGAGGGUAUCCCCUGUGUGUCCCAGGCCAAUAAAAUCUACCUGCCACUGCC